GCACCUGUAGCUCAGCUUGGAUAGAGCGAUUGCCUCCUAAGCAAUAGGUCCGGGGUUCAAAUCCUCGCAGGUGCG
rnacentral:tRNA from 1 species